GACGAACGCUGGCGGCGUGCCUAAUACAUGCAAGUUGAGCGCUGAAGGUUGGUACUGGUACCAACUGGAUGAGCAGCGAACGGGUGAGUAACGCGUGGGGAAUCUGCCUUUGAGCGGGGGACAACAUUAGGAAACGAAUGCUAAUACCGCAUAAAAACUUUAAACACAAGUUUUAAGUGUGAAAGAUGCAAUUGCAUCACUCAAAGAUGAUCCCGCGUUGUAUUAGCUAGUUGGUGAGGUAAAGGCUCACCAAGGCGAUGAUACAUAGCCGACCUGAGAGGGUGAUCGGCCACAUUGGGACUGAGACACGGCCCAAACUCCUACGGGAGGCAGCCGUAGGGAAUCUUCGGCAAUGGACGAAAGUCUGACCGAGCAACGCCGCGUGAGUGAAGAAGGUUUUCGGAUCGUAAAACUCUGUUGGUAGAGAAGAACGUUGGUGAGAGUGGAAAGCUCAUCAAGUGACGGUAACUACCCAGAAAGGGACGGCUAACUCCGUG
rnacentral:rRNA from 1 species